AGUGAACGCUGGCGGUAGGCCUAACACAUGCAAGUCGAACGGCAGCACAGUAAGAGCUUGCUCUUACGGGUGGCGAGUGGCGGACGGGUGAGGAAUACAUCGGACUCUACUUUUUCGUGGGGGAUAACGUAGGGAAACUUACGCUAAUACCGCAUACGACCUACGGGGGAAAGCAGGGGAACUUCGGACCUUGCGCGAUUGAAUGAGCCGAUGUCGGAUUAGCUAGUUGGCGGGGUAAAGGCCCACCAAGGCGACGAUCCGUAGCUGGUCUGAGAGGAUGAGCAGCCACACUGGAACUGAGACACGGUCCAGACUCCUACGGGAGGCAGCAGUGGGGAAUAUUGGACAAUGGGCGCAAGCCUGAUCCAGCCAUACCGCGUGGGUGAAGAAGGCCUUCGGGUUGUAAAGCCCUUUUGUUGGGAAAGAAAAGCAGCAGGUUAAUACCCCGCUGUUCUGACGGUACCCAAAGAAUAAGCACCGGCUAACUUCGUG
rnacentral:rRNA from 1 species